AUUGAACGCUGGCGGCAGGCCUAACACAUGCAAGUCGAGCGGAUGAAGGGAGCUUGCUCCUGGAUUCAGCGGCGGACGGGUGAGUAAUGCCUAGGAAUCUGCCUGGUAGUGGGGGAUAACGUCCGGAAACGGGCGCUAAUACCGCAUACGUCCUGAGGGAGAAAGUGGGGGAUCUUCGGACCUCACGCUAUCAGAUGAGCCUAGGUCGGAUUAGCUAGUUGGUGGGGUAAAGGCCUACCAAGGCGACGAUCCGUAACUGGUCUGAGAGGAUGAUCAGUCACACUGGAACUGAGACACGGUCCAGACUCCUACGGGAGGCAGCAGUGGGGAAUAUUGGACAAUGGGCGAAAGCCUGAUCCAGCCAUGCCGCGUGUGUGAAGAAGGUCUUCGGAUUGUAAAGCUCUUUAAGUUGGGAGGAAGGACAGUGAGUUAAUACCUUGCUGUUUUGACGUUACCAACAGAAUAAGCACCGGCUAACUUCGUG
rnacentral:rRNA from 1 species